rnacentral:rRNA from 1 species
AACGAACGCUGGCGGCAUGCCUAACACAUGCAAGUCGAACGACACCUCCGGGUCUAGUGGCGCACGGGUGCGUAACGCGUGGGAACCUGCCCUUAGGCUCGGAAUAACUCCCCGACAGGGGUGCUAAUAUCGGAUAAUGUCUUCGGACCAAAGAUUGAUCGCCUUUGGAUGGGCCCGCGUUGGUUUAGCUUGUUGGUAGGGUAAAAGCCUACCAAGGCGUGGCUCCAUAGCUGGUCUGAGAGGAUGGGCAGCCACACUUGGAGUGGGACGCGGUCCGGAAUCCUACGCGAUGCGGGAAUGGGUGAUAUAGGAAUACCGGGGGAGUGCUGAAGGAGCAAGGGCGGGAGAGUGAUGAAGGCCGUAGAGUAGUAAAGCACGUUUACCCGGGAUGAUAAUGACGGUACCGGAAGAAUAAGCACCGGCUAACUCCGUG